CUAGAGUUGCUCUAAGACUGCUCUAAUUUAGAGCCACCAUGACGCGAAGCCCACCGGCGGCUCAUCGUUGACACGGAGAGCCCCGGGAGGCCGUACCGACGGCACGCCGCUGCUUGUUCCCACCGCCCCCUCCAUCUGAUCUCCCUGUCCCUCUCGCCCGCCCGCAUUACACCUCCCGCCUCCAACGAGCAGCAGAUUCAUCAGCAGUUCGCUUUCUCUCCGUUCCGGCCUCUUGGCGCUGACGACUCCGCAAGCGGCGAUGGGGAAGCCGCGGGCGGUGCUGGCCCUGGCUGCGGCGGCGGCGGCAUUGCUCCUCUCCUUCUUGGCCGCCGCCGUAGGGGGGCAGGGCGCCGGGAGGAUCCAAGAGUAUAGGAAGUGCUGAUGAUGACUCUGCCAGGGGGCUCAAGGUGUAUAUGUAUAUCUAUGGUCUCCCUGAAAAAUACAACAAGCCGCUGAAGAAGGAACCUAGGUGCCUGAACUACAUGUUCGCCAUGGAGAUCUUCAUGGAACAGUUUCUGUUGCCGAGUGUGAUCCAGAUUUUAAUCCCGAGGAUGCAAUUUGGUUGUAUACAUGCUAUUCAGAUGUGCAGCGCAAUUGAGCAGAUUACGACGAAAUGACCUUACUGGAAUAGAUCAAGGGAGGGGAUCAUUUCUUUGUCACACACAUGACUUUGGUGCUUGCUUCCGUUAUGAGGAAGAGAAACCAAUUGUACGAGGAGUAGGCAUGCGCGGGUGUUUUUUGGUCAUCUCUUCUCCCAUGUAUUCCCUUGUGCUCUGGUUAGUUUGAACCUAUGUUGCAAGGGGCUGCAAUGCCUAUCGUAGGCAAAAGUGAAUGAAA